UUGGAGGGCAAGUCUGGUGCCAGCAGCCGCGGUAAUUCCAGCUCCAAUAGCGUAUAUUAAAGUUGUUGCAGUUAAAAAGCUCGUAGUUGAAUUUCGGGAUCAGAGUGUCGGUCGUGCCUCGGUACGUACUGGUAUUAUUGAUUCCUACCUUCUGAAGAACCGCGAUGUCAUUAAUUUGGUGUCGUGGGGAAUCAGGACUGUUACCUUGAAAAAAUUAGAGUGUUUAAAGCAGGCUUACGCUUGAAUACAUUAGCAUGGAAUAUGAAAUAGGACGUUUGAUUCUAUUUUGUUGGUUUCUAGGAUUGACGUAAUGAUUAAUAGGGAUAGUUGGGGGCAUUAGUAUUCAAUUGUCAGAGGUGAAAUUCUUGGAUUUAUUGAAGACUAACUACUGCGAAAGCAUUUGCCAAGGAUGUUUUCAUUAAUCAAGAACGAAAGUUAGGGGAUCGAAGACGAUCAGAUACCGUCGUAGUCUUAACCAUAAACUAUGCCGACUAGGGAUCGGAUGAUGUUAAUUUUUUAAUGACUCAUUCGGCGCCUUACGGGAAACCAAAGUGUUUGGGUUC
rnacentral:rRNA from 1 species